ACCUGGUUGACUCAGUCAGUAGAGUGUGUGACUCUUGAUCUCAGGAUAGUGAGUUUGAGCCCCACAUUGGGUA
rnacentral:tRNA from 1 species